CUAAAGUUGUUCUCCAAGCUACUGUAUAUUUGGAUCGCAGACCAAUUUGUCAAGUGACAUUUUAAAAUUUGUAUUACUAAUAAUUUCCUAACUAGUUGUCAGUUUGUUACAGAAGGUUGCUCUGGACCCAUGACCCAGGGUGAACUAAAAACAAACAUAACUCUGUUGCUUGUUUUGAACUAGACUUCUAUACUAAAAAAUAUCUUUAUUACACUGAAGGUUUUCUUUUCAUUUAUGUGUACGUGUACAUGCUUGCAUGAGUUUGUGAGCAGCACAUGAUUGCAAGUAUCCUUGGAGGGCAGAAGAAGGCAUCAAAGCCAGUGGAACUGGGGUUACAGGCUGUGAUGACCUGCCAUGUGGAACCAAACCUGGGUCCUCUGCACAAACAAAAUGACUUUUCGUGUGAAGCCACAAGAAGAGAGAAGUAAGAAGUAACCUCACUGGAUGUGUCCAGUAAAUUCACUGUGGUGCCUGGCAGGUGAAAUUAGGAUACAGUUGCCUCCCGACCUUGUUUUCUGUCAUAAAAACACAUGCACAGAUUUUCAGAACCCUUGUAUAGACACACAUUCUGUAAAUGCUGGACUUGGCAACUCAGAACUGAUCUAAGAGCUGGGUCUGUUUCAUACCACUUCUGACCAGUAAGAGGCUCACAGUUGUUUGUUAGGCUUUUGUCUGGCUUUAUACUCUCUUAGAUAUUAUCUCCAGAUUCUAAAUGUCCUCUUAUUUUUCCGUAUAUUCAAACUCUAUGACUCAUCCCCACCCUGCUUCCUUCCCAGACUAUGAGCCACUACAGUUUAGUCAAAACAUAAUCAACUUGGGACUAGCGAGAUGGCUCAGCAGGUAAGAGCACUGACAGCUCUUCUAAAGGUCCUGAGUUCAGAUCCCAGCAACCACAUGGUGGCUCACAACCACCCAUAAUGAGAUCUGACACCCUCUUCUGGUGCUGUCUGAAGACAGCCACAGAAUAAUAAUAAAUAAAUCUUUGGGCCAGAGCCAGCAGGGACUGAGUGAGUGGGGUUGACCAGAGUGAGCAGAGGUUCUAAAUUCAAUUCUCAACAAUAACAUGAAGGCUUACAACCAUCCGUAGAGCUACA
rnacentral:lncRNA from 1 species